AAGAGGCAAUCCCGGGUGGGCAUCUGCGGGACCGUCCAGAUUUGCAGCUUGGGAAGUAUGGAUGCCCGCCACGUAGUAGAGAGAGAAACGGUGUUGUCAGAGUCUACAGAAGCCUAGCGGUGAGCGAAAACAUGGAGAGAGAAUAGAGAAAAUCGUUGGUCUUUCAGCCUUCAGAUCGGCAGGAGCUGGUGUCCUCCCUCAGGACAGCGCCGGCGACCAUGGCGCUGGCGGUGCUGGCGAACCUUUCCGAAGGCACAGGGCAAUAGAUUGCGGCGGGAGCGGAUCCUCAGAUACGGCUUGACCACUGAUGCUAAUGGCAAGCAACGAAUUGGAGUAGUAGUUUGGAGGAGCGGGAUGCAGAGGGUCACAGGGAGUGCCAUGGAAAGGGACACGGUGACUAGUUUGUCGGGCCAGAGUAAAUCGGGUGAACAGAACUAUAUGAGCCAGCACAAGGGGCUAGACUUACCUGCAAUGGCCUUGGCAUAAGAACAAUCUGAACCGGCAGAAGGGGCAAGACUUACCAGCAAUGGCCUUGGCGUAAGGUACUCAGGGCCUGUUUUCUUCCACUUGCUAAACUUUAGCACCCGUCACAUCGAAUGUUUAGAUACUAAUUAGGAGUAUUAAACGUAGACUAUUUACAAAACCCAUUACAUAAGACGA